rnacentral:rRNA from 1 species
AAUACCCGAUGGCAUAAUUAGACCGCAUGGUUUGAUUAUUAAAGAAUUUCGGUUAUCGAUGGGGAUGCGUUCCAUUAGGCAGUUGGUGAGGUAACGGCUCACCAAACCUUCGAUGGAUAGGGGUUCUGAGAGGAAGGUCCCCCACAUUGGAACUGAGACACGGUCUAAACUCCUACGGGAGGCAGCAGUGAGGAAUAUUGGUCAAUGGACGAGAGUCUGAACCAGCCAAGUAGCGUGAAGGAUGAAGGUCCUACGGAUUGUAAACUUCUUUUAUAAGGGAAUAAACCCUCCCACGUGUGGGAGCUUGUAUGUACCUUAUGAAUAAGCAUCGGCUAACUCCGUGCCAGCAGCCGCGGUAAUACGGAGGAUGCGAGCGUUAUCCGGAUUUAUUGGGUUUAAAGGGAGCGCAGACGGGUCGUUAAGUCAGCUGUGAAAGUUUGGGGCUCAACCUUAAAAUUGCAGUUGAUACUGGCGUCCUUGAGUGCGGUUGAGGUGUGCGGAAUUCGUGGUGUAGCGGUGAAAUGCUUAGAUAUCACGAAGAACUCCGAUUGCGAAGGCAGCACACUAAUCCGUAACUGACGUUCAUGCUCGAAAGUGUGGGUAUCAAACAGGAUUAGAUACCCU